CUGGUUGAUCCUGCCAGUAGUCAUAUGCUUGUUUCAAAGAUUAAGCCAUGCAAGUCUAAGUAUAAGCUACUUAUACGGCAAAACUGCGAAUAGCUCAUUAUAACAGUUAUAAUUUACACGAAGAUCAUUACCAAAUGGAUAUCCAUGGUAAUUCUGGAGCUAAUACAUGCUAAAACACCCGACUUCUGGAAGGGUGGCAUUCAUUAGUUCUUGGAACCAACCGGUGGGCAACCACUGUACUUGGUGAUCAUAAUGACAGAGCGGAUCGCAUUUCAUGCGACAGUUCGUUCAAGUUUCUGACCUAUCAGCUCUCGUCGGUAGGGUAUUGGCCUACCGAGGCAGUGACGGGUAACGGGGAAUUAGGGUUCGAUUCCGGAGAGGGAGCCUGAGAAACGGCUACCACAUCUAAGGAUGGCAGCAGGCGCGCAAAUUACCCAAUCCCGAUACGGGGAGGUAGUGACCAGAAAUAGCAACGCAGGACUUCUUGCUCUGUGAUUGCAAUGAGUGAAAGGCAAAACUAUUUGCGAGUACCUAUUGGAGGGCAAGUCUGGUA
rnacentral:rRNA from 1 species